AUUGAACGCUGGCGGCAGGCCUAACACAUGCAAGUCGAACGAGUGGCGGACGGGUGAGUAAUGUCUGGGAAACUGCCCGAUGGAGGGGGAUAACUACUGGAAACGGUAGCUAAUACCGCAUACCAUCGGAUGUGCCCAGAUGGGAUUAGCUAGUAGGUGGGGUAACGGCUCACCUAGGCGACGAUCCCUAGCUGGUCUGAGAGGAUGACCGGCCACACGGGAACUAGGACACGGCCCGGACCCGUACGGAGGGCAGCAGUGGGGAUAAUUGCACAAUGGGCGCAGGCCUGAUCAAGCCAGGCGGGGUGUAUGAAGAGGGCUUUCGGGUUGUAAAGUCCUUUCAGCGGGGAGACGUUACCCGCGGAAGAGGCACCGGCUAACUCCGUGCCAGCGGCCGCGGUAAUA
rnacentral:rRNA from 1 species